rnacentral:rRNA from 1 species
UGAGGAAUAUUGCGCAAUGGGGGCAACCCUGACGCAGCGACGCCGCGUGAGUGAGGAAGGUCUUCGGAUCGUAAAGCUCUGUCAAGAGGGAAGAAGUGCAAGGCAGCGAAUAACUGUUUUGUUUGACGGUACCUCUAAAGGAAGCACCGGCUAACUCCGUGCCAGCAGCCGCGGUAAUACGGAGGGUGCGAGCGUUGUUCGGAAUCACUGGGCGUAAAGGGCGCGCAGGCGGGCUGUCAAGUCAGAUGUGAAAUCCCACGGCUUAACUGUGGACGUGCAUUUGAAACUGGCAGUCUUGAGUACCAGAGGGGAAUGUGGAAUUCCCGGUGUAGAGGUGAAAUUCGUAGAUAUCGGGAGGAAUACCGGUGGCGAAGGCGACAUUCUGGCUGGAUACUGACGCUGAGGCGCGAAAGCGUGGGGAGCAAACAGGAUUAGAUACCCUGGUAGCCCACGCCGUAAACGAUGUGAACUAGAUGCAGGGGGUGUUGAUCCCCUCUGUGUCGCAGCUAACGCAUUAAGUUCACCGCCUGGGGAGUACGGUCGCAAGAUUA